CUCUUGGUCUUCUUUGUUUAUGAGAUAAUAUUACUUGGAUUUCCGCCCUUUAUCUUGUUUGCUUAAUGAGAUACUAUUGUAGGAUUAAUGCCCACCUUAUGUUGAAAAUUUAUAGGUGGAACUGAUAUUUUCUUUCCUCGAAGCUGUGGAAGGGUGCACAAAGAUGUUUCCUUUGUCAAAUGUCUUCCUUGUGAUACUUGUUGAUGGGUGGGCUUAUUCACCUGCUGUCGAGGUGAGAGUAUGUCCAACUUGCAGUGGAAUUGGGAGGGUAAAAAUUUCCCCAUUUACUCCAAUGACAUGCACUACCUGUAAAGGCUCGAAGUCAGUUGUCAAGGUUUAACAUCAUUUCUCCAGUUCCAGCUUUAAUUUCAGUUUUCUUGGUGAAGCUUCCAAUACUUAGUAACUUUGGGUAGGAGCAAUGCAUUUCAUGUGGAGGAUCAGGAGUUCUUGAAGGCACUAAAAAAAAUUAAAGUUACAAUUCUUUCAGGUAGGUCAGAGUUAUUGAUCUCUGACAGAGUUUUGUGGUUUUUGUGUUCGAUGCAUCCUUUCUGUGAAGAUGUAAAAUGAUGAAUAAGGCUAACUGGGUUGAGACUUGAGAUCUGGGAGAGUGAACAGGUUGUGCAUGCUCAUUUUACAGCUUUAUGGCCUCAGUUCUUUAUGUUGUAUGCACGUGACAUCUGUGAAUAUUGUUAUCAAAAAAUGCUUC